GCCCGGCCCAGGAGCCCGGUUACUUACGUUGCACCAGCCGGUCCCCGGUGAAGGUGGCGGAGCAGCUGGUGACCAGCGCACAAGGAACACCGGCAGCCAUCGCUGCAGCAGAGCGGGUUCCGCGCCGGCGCCGCUUCCGCCUUGGGCCGCACCACUGAGGCCGGCGCGCGGGGGAGACGCUCCGGGCACGCGCUCUGGGCGGGGCCGCGCGCUGGGUAGCGGAGGCGCGAGCUGGCCCUCAGCUCCCCCUUCCGCUCCUCCUGUGGAGCACGCCGGUUCCGCGCGCCGCGUUGCUAUAGUGACUGGUGCCUGCUUCUAGAAGCGCUCCGGAGAAGGCCAUACCUCCGGAGCCAAGCGCCUUCUGCCUGCCUCAGUCAUGGCUCAGGCCCAGGAGCUCAACGACCCCAUUGGAUCCAUCCUAAUCCAGGUGGGAAAGAGGCCGGGCUGGCGG
rnacentral:lncRNA from 1 species